CCUUUGCUAUGGUAAGUAUUUUCAUAUUAUAUGUGGUAUGUUAUAUUUGGAAACUAUACUUAUUUUACAAUGAGGGAUUAUUAAAAGGUUUUACAAAGCUUUAUUUUUAGGCCCACUCACCCUUGUUUUUCGCCCCUUCAGGUUUUAGUAGUAAAGCUUUUGUGUCAACGAGGAUUCUUGGCAAAUGUUGGUAUAAGAGAGUACAUUCGACGGUAUAUUUUUUAUCCUACUUUUACUCUACUUUACUUAUAUGCUCUGACAUCACAUGUGAAUUGGAUUCAAUCCAACUCUCAUGCGCACUCUUGCAUUUAUUCACUUUUAGGCUUAAAUUUAUUCGUAUUUCCUACAUCACUACACUAUAUGGCUUCGUCAACUUUAUGUUGUCGGCCAGCACAGUUCGAUUCGGAGUCCAGAUGAACAUUCUGGGUCGGAGUGUGUCACAAUGCCCUAGUAAACUUUCUCCGACCUACGACCAAGGCUCUGAUCAAGGUAUCGUCAUGAUGUGAAGACCCACAUCCUGGGCAAGAACGACGGCCUCGAUCGAGAUGUCUG
rnacentral:lncRNA from 1 species